rnacentral:rRNA from 1 species
AGUGGACGCUGGCGGUAGGCCUAACACAUGCAAGUCGAACGGCAGCACAGUAAUAGCUUGCUCUUACGGGUGGCGAGUGGCGGACGGGUGAGGAAUACAUCGGAAUCUACUUUUUCGUGGGGGAUAACGUAGGGAAACUUACGCUAAUACCGCAUACGACCUACGGUUGAAAGCGGUGGAUCUUCGGACCUGUCGCGAUUGAAUGCGCCGAUGUCGGAUUAGAUGGUUGGGGGGGUAAAGGCCCACCAAGGCGACGAUCCGUAGCUGGUCUGAGUGGAUGAUCAGCCACACUGGAACUGGGACACGGUCAAUGCUCCUGCGGGAGGCACCAGUGGGGAAUAUGGGACAACGGGGGCAAGCCUGAUCCAGCGAUCCGGAGUCUGAGACGAAGGCGUCGCGGUUGUAAAGACCUCUUGUUGGGAAAGAAAAGCAGCCGCUUAAUACCCCGCUGUUCUGACGGUACCCAAAGAAUAAGCACCGGCUAACUUCGUG